UACACAUGCAGUCGAGCGGAAACGAUGAUAGCUUGCUAUCAGGCGUCGAGCGGCGGACGGGUGAGUAAUACUUAGGAAUCUACCUAGUAGUGGGGGAUAGCUCGGGGAAACUCGAAUUAAUACCGCAUACGACCUACGGGAGAAAGGGGGCAACUUGUUGCUCUCGCUAUUAGAUGAGCCUAAGUCGGAUUAGCUAGAUGGUGGGGUAAAGGCCUACCAUGGCGACGAUCUGUAGCUGGUCUGAGAGGAUGAUCAGCCACACCGGGACUGAGACACGGCCCGGACUCCUACGGGAGGCAGCAGUGGGGAAUAUUGGACAAUGGGGGCAACCCUGAUCCAGCCAUGCCGCGUGUGUGAAGAAGGCCUUUUGGUUGUAAAGCACUUUAAGCAGUGAAGAAGACUCCGUGGUUAAUACCCACGGACGAUGACAUUAGCUGCAGAAUAAGCACCGGCUAACUCUGUGCCAGCAGCCGCGGUAAUACAGAGGGUGCAAGCGUUAAUCGGAAUUACUGGGCGUAAAGCGAGCGUAGGUGGCUUGAUAAGUCAGAUGUGAAAUCCCCGGGCUUAACCUGGGAACUGCAUCUGAUACUGUUAGGCUAGAAUAGGUGAGAGGAAGGUAGAAUUCCAGGUGUAGCGGUGAAAUGCGUAGAGAUCUGGAGGAAUACCGAUGGCGAAGCCAGCCUUCUGGCAUCAUAUUGACACUGAGGUUCG
rnacentral:rRNA from 1 species